GCAUAACGCGAAGAACCUUACCAAGGCUUGACAUACACCAGAACACCCUAGAAAUAGGGGACUCUUUGGACACUGGUGAACAGGUGGUGCAUGGUUGUCGUCAGCUCGUGUCGUGAGAUGUUGGGUUAAGUCCCGCAACGAGCGCAACCCUCGUUCUAUGUUGCCAGCACGUAAUGGUGGGAACUCAUGGGAUACUGCCGGGGUCAACUCGGAGGAAGGUGGGGAUGACGUCAAAUCAUCAUGCCCCUUAUGUCUUGGGCUUCACGCAUGCUACAAUGGCCGGUACAAAGGGCUGCAAUACCGUGAGGUGGAGCGAAUCCCAAAAAGCCGGUCCCAGUUCGGAUUGAGGUCUGCAACUCGACCUCAUGAAGUCGGAGUCGCUAGUAAUCGCAGAUCAGCAACGCUGCGGUGAAUACGUUCCCCGGGUCUUGUACACACCG
rnacentral:rRNA from 1 species